rnacentral:lncRNA from 1 species
GAGCUGCAGCUGCCAGCCUACACCACAGCCAGAGCAAUGCCAGAUCGGAGCUGCAUCUGUGACCUACACCUCCGCUUAUGGCUAAGUUGGAUCCUUAACCCACUGAGCAAGGCCAGUGAUCGAACCCGCAUCCUCAUGGACACUAUGUCAGGUUCUUAACCCACUGAGCCACAAUAGGAACUCUUAAAAAAUUAUAAAAUAAAAUAAAAACUUCUAUAAAAAUAAGAGAAUUCUGUUGUCAGCUGUCUCCCCUUAUUUCACCUAAAAAAGCAGCUAAGGGAGUUCCCUCGUGGUUCAGUGGGUUAAGGAUCAGGCAUUGUCACUGCUCUAGCUCAGGUCAUUGCUGUGGGGCAGGGUCCAUCCCUGGCCCAGGAACUUCCACAUGCUGUGGGUGUGGCCAAAAUACAAAAAUAAAACAAAACAAACACACCUAAAAAAGCAGCUGUCUGUGUAAGGGGGACAUUUGGCAGUAUUUGCUAAGCUUGUUUACUCAAGGUCUGACCCAAAAACACAUACUGAGAGGAAAGUGGCCUCAGAGCCUAUCUUGGCUGCCUCCUCUAAUCCUUGUCUUCUUGGGCCUUAAGUACGUUCACCCUGGGGUCCCAACAGAGUAGAAAUGGAGAGAACAAGCAGAGAGGGACAGGGAGUAACUUGAUAAAUGUUUAUUAAAUAAACUUCACUUUUCGUCCAGACAGUGAUGAAUCCUCAAGUAGAAUCUCAGCUUAUUCUCCCCUAAAGGGUCUUUCUCUAAAGCUGAAAGAUGAAUCUUGAGUACAUCAGAUGGAAUGUUCCCCAGGUGUCUAGCUUCUGACUUAUCCUUUCACCUCCUGUAAUUCUGGGACCUCCCAGCUGAACGCUGUGUUUUCCCCAAACAGCAGAGAGAUGAAUAGACCCACAGGCAACAGAGAGGGCAGCUGCUGCUUAACGGAGAAACUGGCCUCCUCCCUGCUCUGGGAUCCCACAGCCCUUUGUUGUCACAGAUUUGGAGCAGGAGUUUCCCAAGCACUGAAAAUGCAUCACAUCUCAGUGAUCCCAAUCACGCAAUAAACCUGCAAUCUCAAGAGCUUGCCUUUAUCUAAGGGAAAAAAUGUGGAGAGAAAUCCCAGCUUCCCCCUUCCUUCCCCAGAGUCUCAGAAAUCAGCAAAUUCUGCCUCUUUCCACUUGAUUAUCAUUGAUUUUAAGUCACUGUUUAGCAGAGACAACUGAACCCCACACGCAAACCUUGAACUAUCCUUAGCCCUUCCUCUGGAGCUGGAAAUGCAUUUUACUUUGCUCUUCCUCACACUACAGCCUGCAGAUAGAAGCUGGGGCUUCACUUCAAGGAAGAGCAGGAAAUUCAGGGGGAUUCUUCAGAAAGCCCUGCAGCAGAACAGCCAAGCAGAAUGCAGGGUCCCGAUGAAUAACACAACUGCAGGAGGAGGGGACUCUGGUUCUCUGACUGGGCACAUCAUGAAGCUUCCAGUGGUCCUCUGUGCUGACACAAUUGCUCAUAACAGGAAAGCAAUGGUUCUGUUAAUUUCCUUAAUUUCAACCCGCCUGCUUUCCUAAGUCACUAAAGCCAUAGAUUAUUCUCCUCUUUACCUGGAAAUUCCUAUGGCCCCUUCCCUGUACUUCUCUGAAUUCCCUGACUUGUGGUUCCUCUCAGCUCCAGAACCCGGAACAGACCACUGUGCUAGCAACACGUUUAAUCUUAUUUUUUAAUAUUAUUAAAUGUAUUUUUGUUAGUGUAUAGUUGAUUUACAGCAUUGAGUCAAUUUCUGCUGUACAGCAUAGUGACCAAGUCAUACACACACACACACACACACACAAACACACACACACACACACACAUAUUCUUUUUCUCAUAUUAUCUUCCAUUAUGGUCUACCCUAAGAGAUUGGAUAUAGUUUCCUGUUCUGUACAGUAGGACUUCAUUGCUUAACCAUUAUAAAUGUAAUAGUUUGCAUCUGCUAACCGCAAACUCCUUGUACAUCCCACUCCCUCUUCUGCCCCCUUGGCAACCACAAGUCCCUUCUCUAUGUCCAUGAGUCUGUUUCCAUUUUGUAGAUAGGUUCAUUUGUGCCAUAUCUGAGAUUCUACCACUAUGAAAAAGGGUAUGGAGGUUCUUCAGAAAACUAAAUAUAGACACAUGUAAUUUUCAACAUUCUAGUUACUAUGUUAAAAAAGUAAAGAGUUAAGUGAACCUCAUUUUAAUAUUACAUUUUAUUCAAUGCAAUAUAUUUAAAAUAGUAUCAAUUCAGUGUGGAACCAGUACCUUUCAAAUACUAAUGAGAUUUUUGUUUCAUUCUAUGUCUUCAGAAUACAGUGUCUCUCCUACACUCAGAGCAUAUCUCAAUUCAGACUGGCCAUGUUUCAAGCACACAGGAGCCACAUGUGGUUGAUGGAUGCUGAAUUAGAGAGUGCAGCCAAUUUCUGUGUUGAUAUGUUCAUCUGCCCUGUUAGCAUGCUGGUCCUUAAGACACAGGACCAUUAAGAGUGACUGACUCAUAGCAGCUGCAUAAUAACUCGUUGUGGAAUGAUUGACUGGAUUAAUAAAUCAAUGUCACUACUGACCACGGGUUAAAAACAGUUCUGUUGAAGGAAGGCAGGAAAGGGGGAUGUGUCUGGAGUUAGGUAUUUUGAGUUAGAAGCUGCUAUGAGAUGCUCAGAUUAUGAUGCUCAGAUAUAAGUCAUAGAUAGAGAUUGGAGCUCAGGGAGAGAACAAGAUGACAUAUGAAGGUGACGGAUGUAUAGUUUGUGGGGGCCCUCCUUGCCAUGGAAAAAAGAAACAAAUUCACCUAAUUCACAUGAAAAUGCUGGGCAGCAUUUCUAAGGAAAAUCACAAUAGGCACUGUAAAAAAAUCAUCCUCAUCUUCAUCCUCAUCCUCAUUAUCACCCUCAUCAUCCCAGUCUGCAAAUGCAAUAACUACUUCCCUCUCAUGUUAGUGACUUGGAGCAAUUUCUGGACAAGAUGGGGAUGUAGGGGAGAUCCAUAUGCAAAGUUCUCUGCAGUGGGAGUCUCCCCCUCCACGGAGUCCUCCCUCUCCCACUCACCCCACUCCUCCAAGUGAUCAAUACUCUCAAAUAGAAAAAGAAGUCUCUUGGCAAACUCAACUCUUUCUUUGGUGCAUAUACAUCACUCAGGGCUCUUGUUUAAAUGUAGGUUCUGACUCAAGUGAGUCUGGGGCAGAGCCUGAGAUUCUACUUUUCUAACAUGUCCAAGUGAUGCUGAUGCUGCGGGUCCAUGGACCACACUUUGAGGAGCCAGGCAAAAGGGAUUAGAGACUUUGCCCAGACUUGGAUUUUGAUUUCUAUAAAGAGAAUAUCAGAAAGAUGGCACUUUAGCCCAUGGAAAUACAAGAAAUUUCAGGGAUGGGAUGCGACCCAAAAAACUCCCCUGAAUCCUACAAACAACCCCCCAAAAGCAGUUUUGCUUAUGGGUAAGGCCAUCUAAGUCAUUGGCGGUAAUUGUGAUUCAGUACAAAUAAUGUUGGAAUUGAGGCUGAAUUUUAAUUCCAUCUACUACACUUACUAGCUACGUGAUUUUAUGAGUUUCACUUCACUUCUCUGAAGCUAAGUUUCCUUAUCUGUAAGAUAUAUAUAAUAUAGCAUAGCUCACAAGGAUUCUCUGAAUUCAAUUUUUUUAAAAAGCCUGUGUGACAUUGCCUGACACAUGCUAGAGGCUCAACAAAUGCUUAUUAAAUCUCAACCAAAAUAUUUUCCAGUUACCCGUGUGAGGCUAGCAUUAAAAUAAAGCUGGUGGGAUAAAAAAAGAAUUUUUCAAAUGAGAUAUGUCGGCUUUUAGGUUGAUUAAGGCUCAGUGGACAGGAUAUUUAUCGUCAACUAAAUGUAUCCCCCUCUACCAAAGCAAUGCAAAUACAUUCCCAGCAAAUGUCUUCAGGGAAAGGGCAUAAUUUCAUCUUUACCUAUUUUUAUAUUUCUUUACAGUUGCCAUGAGAGCAUUUUAAUAACCUCCAUGGAGUUGAAAGUGAUGCAGGUAAUUGCCAUAAGUAAUUUAAGGGCUAUUAAAGCUAACAAACCUCUCCUGUGAAAUACCUUGUUAAGCGGUGAUCAGCAGAAAACAUGUAAGAAUCGGGUGCAGUGUAAAUUCAAGCCCUUUCUCCAGUUAAGCUGAAGUGAAAAUGUAAUUACAUUACACAUAAGAGGGGUGCAGAUAUUAAAGCUCUUCCUGCUCCAGGCUGGGGUUGGCUCCAGCUAAGAUGCCCUGCUAUUCUAAUGAGAUCCACUUCCUUCAGAAGAGAGGGUGUCAUCUCUGCUGUCACUCCCCAUCGCCUGAACUGGCAGCUAAUUUUCCAUGCACACACAUCUUAAGAUUAUAAAUCUGAGCGUUUCUUGGUGCGGAGUCCUCAGGGAUCUGGUUCCAGCCUUGGAUUUGGCCAAUCACUCACUG